rnacentral:lncRNA from 1 species
CUAGCUAGCUAGUACAAGAUUUAUUGCAUAUUUCCGUCCAUUAAUUAUUACUAAUUAAAUAAAUAACCACAUAUCUCACACUAAUAGAUUAAUAUAUCAAACCCAUGCAUAUUACAAAUAUAUAUAUAUAACAACCAAGUAAUCUUCUCAAUCCAUCUCGUGUGCUUGUCAUUGUUUGGUAAUUAUAUAUUUUCAGGCGACAACUAGAUCAAAGGAGCAGGUUGCCGUUGAUGUUUACUUCAGCUUCUGUUCUUGCAUUUCUCCAUGGCUCUUGGAGCUGAAAUUAAUAUUCCAUUAAUAAAUUAAAGAUGAUCAAUUAAUCUAUAUAUCUAAAUAAUUUCACAAGUUUAAUUUGAUAUAUAUACUACAGACUAGACUACUAUAAAUACUUACGUACCUAGUCCAAUUGCUUCAGUUCCUUUCAUUAUGCGCAAGCGCUUGCAAGAACCAACCAACAUCCUGUUUACGGUUAAUAUAUUUUGUUUAAUUAGUUGUUUACAAUUAAUUAAUAAUCAUAAUUUAUUAAGUAGCGUAGUGAAUAUUAUAUUAUGCAUGAAUUAAGUGAAUCGAUGGAAGAAGAAGAAAGAGUACUAACUCCCAAGGGACAUCGCCCACGAGCAUCCAAUCACCAUCCCUGUCUUCAUAAGUUGGAACAUAAUCAGAACUGUUGAGCAGAUCCAUCAGUUUGCUCUCAUUCAUGAAAUCCAUUAAUCCUUGAGAUCCACAGUUACCUUAAAAAAACAUGAGAUAUAUAUAUUAAGGUUUACAUACAUAUUAUGGCAUGCUUAAGCGUAAAUUAAAUAAGUUAUGUUCAAACGUACCUACGUACGUGUCCUGCACAAAUUUUGUUAUAAAGUGGUGAAAUUUAGUUUGUGAGAAAUCUAGCUAGAUGUCUAAUUGGUUAAUGUGUUUACGUACGUACCAAUGGUGAAGGAAUUGAACAUCUUGCCUAGGGCAUCAGAAAGUUCUUGGUAACUCUUGUACAUCUUGAGAUCGACUUUGCGGAGAUAUGGUGCACCGUCCAAGCUCACCUUCACUAAGGC